CUUUUUCUUUUUUAAAUGUUUAUUAAUUAAAUCUUAUCUUUUACUUUCAUUUUCCUUUCAUGGCUUUCGUUUCAGUUUCUUCUUCUCCGAUCUCCUUAAAUCCAAACUCUCACUUUCAUUUCCAAACUUUUUCAGUCACCAGCGUCCUCCUUCUUUCUAAAUUGAUUUUGUAUUUACCGUUCUUUUUUUUUUCUGUCACAGGAUUUUGUAUUUAUCUAAAACAGAGAUUUUAGCUUUUCCCUUAACUUUUUCUGAUAAUAACAACUCAGAAACCCAAAUCUGGGAUUCGUGAAUAGUUUUUCAAAGAGCUUUUCAUAUUACAAAGAUAGGUUGGAUUGUGAGUUGAUAGGAAUUGGGUCCGUUGGUGAUUUCGUUUGUGCCUCCUCUUCAGAUCUCCAACGACCAUGUGUUUCAGAUCUCUAGCGACCAUGCACGUCUGAUUCUCGGGACCCUUGGUUCGGUGCUUAGUCUGACCCUGGUUCGAGAUAUAACAUAGGAAGUUGAUUCCAUCAGAGUUGAUUGCAUGCUUCUGGAGGGUUUGCAAUUCGAGAUAUAACAGAAGAAGUUGAUUCCAUCAGAGUUUAUUGCAGGCUUCUGGAGGGUUUGUAAUGGAUGAGCAAGCAAGUUAAGUGGAGUACAUCUUUUAAGAGUUACUCAAGAGGUUGAGCAAGCUAACCAUUUAAUUGACUCACGGUGACCAAUAGCGUUGUGUUCAAGAUAAAGUGCCUACUAUGAUCUUCAUCCACCUCCUCGUGGUCUCAAAAGUAUUAACUUACAAGAAAGAUUCAAUGCAUAUUAAGCAUGUACAUGUGCAUAUUAAGCAUGUACAUAUGGACAGUGACACCUAGGUGUACACAUGGAUACAUGAUACUUACGUACACAAGUAACAAAACAAAUUCAAUA